CCUACGGGAGGCAGCAGUGGGGAAUAUUGGACAAUGGGCGAAAGCCUGAUCCAGCCAUGCCGCGUGUGUGAAGAAGGCCUUCGGGUUGUAAAGCACUUUCAGUGGGGAAGAAAGCCUUGGGGCUAAUACCCUCGAGGAAGGACAUCACCCACAGAAGAAGCACCGGCUAACUCCGCGCCAGCAGCCGCGGUAAUACGGAGGGUGCGAGCGUUAAUCGGAAUUACUGGGCGUAAAGCGCGCGUAGGCGGUCUGAUAAGCCGGUUGUGAAAGCCCCGGGCUCAACCUGGGAACGGCAUCCGGAACUGUCAGGCUAGAGUGCAGGAGAGGAAGGUAGAAUUCCCGGUGUAGCGGUGAAAUGCGUAGAGAUCGGGAGGAAUACCAGUGGCGAAGGCGGCCUUCUGGACUGACACUGACGCUGAGGUGCGAAAGCGUGGGUAGCAAACAGGAUUAGAUACCCGGGUAGUC
rnacentral:rRNA from 1 species